rnacentral:miRNA from 2 species
UACUACUCCCUCCGUCCCAAA